GUGAUGUCUAAUUUGGGGCCCCUGAACCUAUUCAUCCUAGGUGACCAAUGUUUGGGGUGGGCUUGAUGCCAAGUCUCUUUACCAAGCCAAUCAAGUAGAAGAAUAUGUUUUUGAAAUACUUCCUAUAUUAUGUCACAUGCAAUUCAUCACAUAUGACCAACAGCAAUUGUGUUUGCCUUCUUACUACAGAACGAUUGUGUAUGUGCCUAAUUAGAAAAAAGCCUAGUGUGUUCAUCGCUGCUUUCUCCAAGGAUCUUCAAAUCAGUGGGACACCCCAGAGUUCAUUAGAGGCCUUGAGGAUGCCCAUAGAUCUUCAGAGACACCCCCAUUGUCAGAAGGAGAGAAGCCACAAGAGGUUGGACUACCAUCUGUCUGGAAUGGUUCUGUAAACCUGCAUUAAUUUUUGAGUUGGACUCAAUGACCUCUGGAGAUCCCUUUCAACUCUGCGGUUCUGUGUUUCUAUGGAGUGAUGCAAAUUCUAAAUAUUCUCAUAGGUCCCAAAAGGCUGAUAAUCCCUAGUCCAACUUAUCAGAUUUAAAACAUCCCUGUGAAGUGGAUCGAUGGAAGAGAUUUAGCAGCUUUCAUAAAGAAACAUGAAGAUCAAACCAGAUGCUUCUCCAUAUUUUGCUGCAGGAGGCUAUAGCAAAGAGGCAGAAGAAAUGACCUAGAAAGAAUGUAACCAUUAGCAUCUUCCCAGAAGAAGGUACUACAAACUUCUUUCUGUAAUCUUGCCAAGGAAACUGGAUGAGUGUGACCAAAGCAACUCUCAUUUAUGGGAAAAGUCAAAGUUUCUUUCCUUUUGCCCACCCUAGGACCUUACAGAUAUUUCUGGCUAUAUUUCCCAUUGGUGCCACCCAGCAUAAUCCCUUUCUUCUUCUCUUAUAACCAAGGUGAUAAAAUGAUCCAAGCACAUGUACAGUGACCCAUCCUGUGUAGGCUAUUUUACCUUGGGAUGUAUAAAGACUCACUUGCACUGCCUUCAAUUCCAUUGUCCAGGUACUGGUUCUUCUCAGCCACAAACCAAUAUGCUGGGCUUUCUGCCCCCCAGCCAUUAUAACAAGCAUACAACUGUGAGGCAGCCAUGAAAUAUAAUAUUGUCAUCACAGUUUGGGUGCUGACAAAAUAUUGUUUCUUAAUAACGGCUCAGGAUGGCCAAUAGAUGUGUCUUUUUGGGAACUAUAUCAGACUGCAGACUGAAGGCAUCCUGAGUAGAGUUGACAUUUGUAGCUCUUUAAUAGUGGAGCAGAAGAGGGAUAUCUGCACUGCAAGCCAUUUGGUUGAAAUGUCUUUAUUGGCUCAACUUUAAAGGCCUAGGAGCCCUGACCUGGAUUCCAUAUGGUGACGUUAACCUUGGGAUGUAAUCAAGGAAUCUGAUGGGAGGGUUCCAAUCUGUUGCCUGACAGUGACUUCAUAUGUUGAUUUCUCCUGUAAACACUGUACUUUUGUGUUUGGAAGUAAAGCAAGCAUUAUGUAAUUGCUGUAAGUUUUGGUAGCUCCCUUUCUGAAGCAGUGGUGCUUCCCAGACCUUUUGCUGUUCAGGCAAAUGGAAAAAGUAAUGCAUUAUGACUGAUGUAACAUUAUUGUGAAGUGCAGCAGCACACCUGAAUGGCUUGCAUUUGACUGCCCAAGCUGGCUAUAUCUAGACAUCGCUUACUUAGCAGAAUAAGUAAAUGAUGUCUGAAUGCAGCAAGUCUGGCUACACCUAAGUUUUAAUCCACCAUUGAUCCACCUCCANAACGAACAGGACACAUGAGCAAAGUGACUGGCAAUUUUCCUACCACAUCAUCUAAUCCAAAGGCAUUUUUCUGAAAAGUGGAUACAAUCCUGCUGAAGUGGAGGGGUGUGUGUGUCUAUCUUUGGGGGUUUUUUAACCCCUAAAAUGGUUUAAACAUUUUGGUUUUGGACCUUAGGCAAAAACAGAAGACAAAAAGGAAAGCUGGAGAUGGACAAUUGCUACUUGGAAUGAACUGAGGCAGAAUAUACAAUGCGCUGAGAGAAAGGAGAAGCAGGCUAUGAAUGUGAAUGUUUCUGAAGCAGGACAAGCUGAUUUCUUGGCUAAGUGCCCUCUGGUCAUAUUGUGUGUAGCUGGGCCAUAGACUAUGGCUGAUUUCAGGCAACCAAAACUGAAGCUUCCAGUCAUGUCAUUGCCUUGCCUCUAUAAACUAUGGUUUGCUGCUGCUCUAAUGAAUGCAUCCGUAUACCAACAAAGUUUAGUGAAUUGCACCCUCAGUUUAAAAUCAAAGCAUCCUUUUUAUACCAAGCAGUGCCCAAAUCUGCUAGCAUUCACUUUAGCUAGCAGUUAUUACACCCUUGGGCCUCCUUAGGAAUAUACAAGUGUUGGGUAUCAUAGAAUUUUAGCUAAGAAUGCUAUUCCUUCAGGUGGUGUCUAUUCUUAUGUUUCUAAAUUGAAUCAUUAUGCAUAUACUGUACAGACAUACUGAGUCAGGGCAAUCUAGAUCAGCUCCACUUGUUGCUUUCCUUACAACAGCUUCCAUGAGCCAUAAUCCUUUUGGUUGGAACUGAUGAAAAUUGUAAUCUUCCCACAGUGUUGAAAAGCCUGUUCUAGCCUUGCCUUGCUUACUGAGUCUUUCCAUAUGAUUCUUCUCUCAGGUGCCAGGAAUGAAUUUAGGGCCUUCUGUGUGAAACGUAAUGUCACUGUGUCCCAUUGCCUUGAAGAACUCCAAGAGAAGUUGACUUUUCUAACUCAGAGAUCUAGGCCCUUUCUGCACUUGGCCUUAUUGUGGAUUAUAUCCCAGAAUAGGGACCUGCUAUGCACAUGCUAGUGCAAACUAUGAAAGGUCUUGCCCAGGGUCUACCAUAGUUUGCACUAGCAUGCAGAUGGCAGGUUCCUAUUCUGAGAUAUAAUCUGGAAUAUGUCCAAGUGCAGAAAGGGCCCUACUCUCCAUCAAAGCUAACACCAUAUGUGCUACAUGGUAUGCUAUGUCAGUCCUCCUUCCUUGAGUUUCUGCAGGCAUUGUUGAACUGUUUCUCCCAUCAUCUCUGACUAUUAGCUACAUUAGCUGCACUUCAAACAAUCCAAAGUAUCCAUAUGUCAACAUGUUAAGGCAAUCCAUCAUCAACUAAUUGAUUUGAUGAUCUGUGUGUCUAUUUUUGUGUGAGAAAGAUGUAUUUAAAUUUAUUGUUUUAAUUCUAUUGGUAUGUGUGUUCUGAUCUUGUUAUUUUUUUGCAUUUUAUAUCAUGUUUUUAUUAUUUGUAAGAUCUCCAGAAAAUAUAAAUAUAGUAAACAAACAAAGAAACUUAAUUUUGUAGUCAGGCAUUCAGAUACUUUUUAUAACUUUAAAACAGUUAUGGCCACUGAGGCAGUUCUACAUUGUAAGGGGCCAGAGUGAACCAAACAGAACCAGGGAAUGUUCAUUUGAACAAGCUGAACUAUCCGGUUUGGUUCAAACUGGUUCAAGUUCACCCACAACUGCUCUUUAAAAAGGGCUUUUUACCAAUGAUUUUUAAUGUUAUUUUAAUUUAAACAGGUUCAAACCUGUUCAAGGUUUGAAUGCAAACCAGGUCGAGCCUAUUCAACCUGGUUCAAAUUUUAACUGGACACCAUGUAGUUUGGUUCAAAUUCAAACUGAGCCAACAUUUUUGGUUCCAUGCAUACCUCUAGUUCUAAGCAGAUGUACGCAGAGGUUUUUGUGGGGAAGGAGCAAUCUUUUUUUUAGGAUUGUAAAGUUUAUGAUUCUUUGUCAAAAGCUUUGGCAACAAUUUGUUUAUUAUUUUUUAUAUUUGUAUUUUACCCUACCAGAUUGCAGAGCCCAGGACAAUUUAUGGAUAAAAAUAAACAAAAGCAAUAAUAACA
rnacentral:lncRNA from 1 species